AAAGGUUGCAAUAUGUGAAAUAAAGUAAAAUGUACAGAGAACCAACAGUGAAAGGAAGGAAAUCAGGGCUCAAAUCAACACUUUGGAUCAGGAGGAAGAAAUAAACAUUUGACCAGAAAAGAAUGAAGAAA